ACUGAUUGGCGUGAGGCAGAGGAUGUGCUUCCCAGUGGCAGGCAGCUGCGUGGAGCCAGCCUGGACCGUGUCAGGUACAGCUUAUCGUUUGUCAAUCCCAUCUCAAUCAAGCGGUAUUUAAAAAAUUUAAAACAGAAUGACCGAUGCUUUUCCUCUCCUCUCCUCAUCACUAUCCUCAAGGGAUACCUGUGCAUCGAGAAUGCAACUGAAGUGAUAUACAAGCUCAUCAAAAGGCCUUGCAACUUCUGCUUGUACUCUGUUGCUGCUCUGAGUCCACCAUGUAAAGAUGUGUGUCCAUCAUGUAAAGAUGUGUGAGAUAGCCUUCUUGAGAAUGAGAGAUUAUAUGGAGAUGGAAUCUAGGUGACAGUAAGCACCAACCAUCGGACAUGAGGGAGGUCAUCUUGGACCACCUGGCCCAUGCCAAGCCAACAGAUGGUUGUAGCUACAUGAAUAAUUUCAUCUUAAAAUCACCAGAAGAACCACCCAGCUGAGCCCAGAGCAAAGUGCUGAUAUACAAACUCAUGAACAAAUAAAAUGGUGGUUAUGUUAAGCCAAUCAAUUUUUGGGUGGGUUGUUCUGCAGAAAUAGCUAAGUGAGAUCAUUAUCUAUCAUUUAUAAAGAAUUCUACUGAUAAAAGUAAGCAGCCUGACUACAAAAUGGACAAGCAAGUCACAAAGCAAGAAACACAAUGUCUGUUGACUUGAUUCAAAGAUGGAGGAGGCUUGUUGAUGGAUUGGAACUAGGACUUGGACUCUACAGUCAGUCUGAGUGGAUUCCUGGUUCCCUGCCACCACAACUAUGUGGCCUUGGAUAAGUACCUAAAUCUCUACAGUCCUCAAUUUCCUCAUCUAUGAAAUAGGUAUAUAAAUGCUUUCUGUCUCACAGGCUCAUUGUAACUUUACUUGUAUUAACUACAAAUAAAUUAUGCUUUUGCUUCUACUACUGUAAGUGGCUCUGAUGAACUCUUGAAUCCAAAGCAGUGAAUACAAGAAGCUAACUGUUUUAUAGAAGGCAGUAGAGGAAUAAAAGAGGGAAGGUGCUCAUAAAGAUGGCAGUUAGGAGAUAGAGAACAAAGACAUUUCAUUACAUUUCAGACUUUGUUUUGCUUUAAUGUUAUUGUAAAAAUAAUAAAUUUGGUGUUUUAUAUGAUACUUGCUUAAAUUUCACUGCCUUAAUAGU